AAUAGAUACCCUGGUAGUCCUAGCCGUAAACGAUGAACACUAGGCGUAGUCGGUAUCGACCCCGGCUGUGCCGUAGCUAACGCAUUAAGUGUUCCGCCUGGGGAGUACGGCCGCAAGGCUAAACUCAAAGGAAUUGACGGGGGCCCGCACAAGCAGCGGAGCGUGUGGUUUAAUUCGUCGCAACGCGAAGAACCUUACCAGGGCUUGACAUGUGGCGGAAAACGGCGGAAACGUCGUCCUCCCGCAAGGGACCGUCAUGCAGGUGUUGCAUGGCUGUCGUCAGCUCGUGUCGUGAGAUGUUGGGUUAAGUCCCGCAACGAGCGCAACCCCCGUGGCAUGUUGUAUCUCUCAUGCCAGACUGCCGAGAGAAACUCGGAGGAAGGUGGGGAUGACGCCAAGUCAGCAUGGCCCUUACGUCCUGGGCUACACACACGCUACAAUGGCCGGUACAACGGGUUGCCAAACCGCGAGGUGAGCUAAUCCCGUUAAAGCCGGUCUCAGUUCGGAUUGCAGGCUGCAACUCGCCUGCA
rnacentral:rRNA from 1 species